rnacentral:rRNA from 1 species
CAGUCGCCGCGGUAAUACGUAGGUGGCAAGCGUUGUCCGGAAUUAUUAGGCGUAAAGGGCUCGCAGGCGGUUUCUUAAGUCUGAUGUGAAAGCCCCCGGCUCAACCGGGGAGGGUCAUUGGAAACUGGGAAACUUGAGUGCAGAAGAGGAGAGUGGAAUUCCACGUGUAGCGGUGAAGUGCGUAGAGAUGUGGAGGAACACCAGUGGCGAAGGCGACUCUCUGGUCUGUAACUGACGCUGAUGCACGAAAGCUAGGGGAGCAAACAGGAUUAGAUACCCCCGUAGUCCCUGUCUCUUAUAC